rnacentral:rRNA from 1 species
UAAUACGAAGGGGGCUAGCGUUGCUCGGAAUUACUGGGCGUAAAGGGCGCGUAGGCGGACAGUUUAGUCAGAGGUGAAAGCCCAGGGCUCAACCUUGGAAUUGCCUUUGAUACUGGCUGUCUUGAGUUCGGGAGAGGUGAGUGGAAUGCCGAGUGUAGAGGUGAAAUUCGUAGAUAUUCGGCGGAACACCAGUGGCGAAGGCGACUCACUGGCCCGAUACUGACGCUGAGGCGCGAAAGCGUGGGGAGCAAACAGGAUUAGAUACCCUGGUAGUCCACGCUGUAAACGAUGAGUGCUAGUUGUCGGCAUGCAUGCAUGUCGGUGACGCAGCUAACGCAUUAAGCACUCCGCCUGGGGAGUACGGUCGCAAGAUUA